UAUCCUAAAGAGUGUUUUCCAACUCGGUUCCAUUCUCCCCGUCCCCAAAGCCAAUAAUUGUCACCGUCUUAAAAACUUUUGAGUUAGAGAAGAUGAUCAGGGAAGUGUCACAGUCCUAGAAACGCAGUAGACCCAGUUAUAGGUCAGGAAGGUUAAGUGGCACACUCAGUCACACACCUUACAAAGUGAUGGAAUUGAGACUUCCUUGUAGACUGGAUACUAGACCUUUGUCAGAUGGAUAGAUUGCAAUUUUUUUCUCCCAUUCUGUAGGUUCUCUAUUUAUUCUGAUGAUAUUUUAUUUUGCUGUGCAGAAACUCCUUAGUUUAAUUAGAUUCCAUUUGUUGAUUUUUGCUUUUGUUGCAAUUGCUUUUGCCAUUUUUG
rnacentral:lncRNA from 1 species